rnacentral:rRNA from 1 species
CGUAAUCAACCUGCCCUUCGGAGGGGGAUAACAACGGGAAACCGUUGCUAAUACCGCGUACGAUUCACAGGCGGCAUCGCUUGUGAAUGAAAGGUGGCCUCUAUAUAUAAGCUAUCGCUGAAGGAGGGGAUUGCGUCUGAUUAGCUAGUUGGAGGGGUAACGGCCCACCAAGGCAAUGAUCAGUAGCCGGUCUGAGAGGAUGAACGGCCACAUUGGGACUGAGACACGGCCCAA